CCCUUAGAAGGAACGCUGGCGGCAUGCCUAACACAUGCAAGUCGAACGAGGCCCUUCGGGGUUUAGUGGCGCACGGGUGCGUAACGCGUGGGAAUCUGCCCUUUGGUUCGGAAUAACAGCUGGAAACGGCUGCUAAUACCGGAUGAUGACGAAAGUCCAAAGAUUUAUCGCCAGAGGAUGAGCCCGCGUUGGAUUAGGUAGUUGGUGGGGUAAAGGCCUACCAAGCCGACGAUCCAUAGCUGGUCUGAGAGGAUGAUCAGCCACACUGGGACUGAGACACGGCCCAGACUCCUACGGGAGGCAGCAGUGGGGAAUAUUGUACUAUGGGCGCAAGCCUGAUCCAGCAAUGCCGCGUGAGUGAUGAAGGCCCUAGGGUUGUAAAGCUCUUUUACCCGGGAAGAUAAUGACUGUACCGGGAGAAUAAGCCCCGGCUAACUCCGUG
rnacentral:rRNA from 1 species